AGCGGCACGGCCGGGCCGAAAGGCCAGCGGGCGUGGGUGAAAGGAGAGCCCCUGCCCUGGUUCCUGCCACGAAAACCUGGCUGUUGCCAUCAUGAGGCUUGGUACCCCACAGGUAUCCCUAAUGCAAAAUGGAUACAAGAAUGUGACCCCACUUACAUCUGGAGAAAAAGUCUACUCACCUAGGAGGCAAAGAGUGCCAACAACGUCUUGGGAAUGGGGAACAGACCAGGGCUUACCAGCCACACUUGUGACCAAGGUGACUGGAGCAUGUUGGUCAGAGAGGCUGGAGAAUCUCCCCUACUCGGAGUCAAAACCUAAGUGGACAAUGUCUUGGGCAAGUUGCUUUAGUUGACCCUGCCUAAAACAGGUUGGAUGAGGUGAUUUGCAGGGAGCUCUUCCAACCUCUGCUAUUCUGUCAUUCCAAGGGCUCAGCCUAUUCCCCAUCCAUAAAUUCCUUAAAGAGA